AAGGUUAAACUGUGUAUCGGAGUAUAUAUAACCAAUGUAUACUUGUUAUGAGUGAAAAUAUGUAAACAUCUAAUUUGUGUAGGCACGUGUGUUAGAGUGAUGGGAUUGAUUAUAAAGUAAUAAAAUAAGAACAUUUAGAAGACGUGGAAAUCCGUUUAACAGGUAUCAACGAGGGGAGUGUGUGUGUGUGUUGCCAUUUUGGCAAGUGAAGUGUGGUGAACCCUACCUAUGGAUAAGACUUUAGCUAGACAUGGCUGGAAAGUCCCAU
rnacentral:lncRNA from 1 species